AAAAGCACUCUGUGUGGGGAACAUGAGAGCCAGACCAAAGCUCAGAGGAACCCACCUGGACCUCCACCCAGCUCUGUUUCCUUACAGAGUGACUGGUCUGCAGAUCGCCCCAUUAAUUUUAAAGUCUCUGCUGCAGAGAGAGGUCAGAGGUCACAGUCUGCAGGGUCCAGCUGUCCGUCUGUGAGGAGUGACUGGUCCAAAGAUGAUCCUCCAGACUUCAGUGGUGAACCUGGACCAACGAGAGUGGACCAGCAGAGCUCAGAGGUUCCCAGUGGUCAGUCUGCCCAGCAGCAUCAAACA